GGGAUGUAGCUGCGAUGCCCCUGAGUUCCUGUAACCCUGAUGCCACCUCCAAGGUACCUUGUAUUUCCAGAGUCGGUGCGUGUCCUGCGUGGGACCCCGAGGGCUCAGCCUCCUAGAGGAUCAGCAGCCAAGGAGGCGCGAGGCUCCGCCCACCUCGAGUCUCAAUGGAAGGUGGUCUUUUCUGAAGAUGGCCACCACUAGAUCGCCUCAUUGACUGGUGAGACCUUUGCCCCUUCCUCCC